GUGGGGAAUAUUGGACAAUGGGCGAAAGCCUGAUCCAGCCAUGCCGCGUGUGUGAAGAAGGUCUUCGGAUUGUAAAGCACUUUAAGUUGGGAGGAAGGGCAGUAAGUUAAUACCUUGCUGUUUUGACGUUACCGACAGAAUAAGCACCGGCUAACUUCGUGCCAGCAGCCGCGGUAAUACGAAGGGUGCAAGCGUUAAUCGGAAUUACUGGGCGUAAAGCGCGCGUAGGUGGUUCAGCAAGUUGAAGGUGAAAUCCCCGGGCUCAACCUGGGAACUGCCUCCAAAACUGAAUGACUAGAGUACGGUAGAGGGUAGUGGAAUUUCCUGUGUAGCGGUGAAAUGCGUAGAUAUAGGAAGGAACACCAGUGGCGAAGGCGACUACCUGGACUGAUACUGACACUGAGGUGCGAAAGCGUGGGGAGCAAACAGGAUUAGAAACCCGAGUAGUCC
rnacentral:rRNA from 1 species